CCUACGGUAGUCAGCAGUGGGGAAUAUUGCGCAAUGGGCGAAAGCCUGACGCAGCGACGCCGCGUGAGGGAUGAAGGUCUUCGGAUCGUAAACCUCUGUCAGCAGGGAAGAACGGUCACUGUGCUAAUCAGCAGUGAAUUGACGGUACCUGCAAAGGAAGCACCGGCUAACUCCGUGCCAGCAGCCGCGGUAAUGCGGAGGGUGCGAGCGGUAAUCGGAAUUACUGGGCGAAAAGCGCUCGUAGGCGGUAUGUCAAGUCAAGGGUGAAAUCCCCGCGCUCAACGUGGGAAAUGCCUUUGAAACUGGCAAACUGGAGUGUGUGAGAGGAUAGUGGAAUUCCAGGUGUAGGAGUGAAAUCCGUAGAUAUCUGGAGGAACAUCAGUGGCGAGGCGACUAUCUGGCACAUAACUGACGCUGAGGAGCGAAAGCGUGGGUAGCAAACAGGAUUAGAUACCCUAGUAGUC
rnacentral:rRNA from 1 species